rnacentral:rRNA from 1 species
AUUGAACGCUGGCGGUAUGCUUAACACCUGCAAGUCGAACGGCAGCAUGGUCUAGCUUGCUAGACUGAUAGCGCGUGGCGGACGGGUGAGUAACGCGCAGGAAUAUGCCUUGAAGAGUGGGACAACUUGGGGACACUCAAGCUAAUACUGCAUGUACUCGAGAGAGUAAAGCUGGGGACCUUUAGGCCUGGCGCUGUAGUCUUAGCCUGCGUCCGAUUAGCUAGUUGGUAGGGUAAAGGCCUACCAAUGCGCCGAUCGGUAGCUGGUCUGAGAGGAUGAUCAGCCACACUGGAACUGAGAGACGGUCCAGACUCCUACGGGAGGCAGCAGUGGGGAAUAUUGGACAAUGGGGGGAACCCUGAUCCAGCAAUGCCGCGUGUGGGAAGAAGGCCUGAGGGUUGUAAAGCACUUUCAGUGGGGAGGAGGUUUGGAAGGUUAAGAGCUAUUCAAAUGGACGUUACCCACAGAAGAAGCACCGGCUAACUCCGUGCCAGCCGCCGCCGUAA